rnacentral:rRNA from 1 species
UCGAGCGAGCGAUUUAAUGAGACUUCGGUGGAUUUUAAAUUGACUGAGCGGCGGACGGGUGAGUAACGCGUGGAUAACCUGCCUCACACAGGGGGAUAACAGUUAGAAAUGACUGCUAAUACCGCAUAAGCGCACGGUACCGCAUGGUACAGUGUGAAAAACUCCGGUGGUGUGAGAUGGGUCCGCGUCUGAUUAGGUAGUUGGUGAGGUAACGGCCCACCAAGCCGACGAUCAGUAGCCGACCUGAGAGGGUGACCGGCCACAUUGGGACUGAGACACGGCCCAAACUCCUACGGGAGGCAGCAGUGGGGAAUAUUGCACAAUGGGCGAAAGCCUGAUGCAGCAACGCCGCGUGAGCGAAGAAGUAUCUCGGUAUGUAAAGCUCUAUCAGCAGGGAAGAAAAUGACGGUACCUGACUAAGAAGCCCCGGCUAACUACGUGCCAGCAGCCGCGGUAAUACGUAGGGGGCAAGCGUUAUCCGGAUUUACUGGGUGUAAAGGGAGCGCAGACGGCACUGCAAGUCUGAAGUGAAAGCCCGGGGCUCAACCCCGGGACUGCUUUGGAAACUGUAGAGCUAGAGUGCUGGAGAGGCAAGCGGAAUUCCUAGUGUAGCGGUGAAAUGCGUAGAUAUUAGGAAGAACACCAGUGGCGAAGGCGGCUUGCUGGACAGUAACUGACGUUCAGGCUCGAAAGCGUGGGGAGCAAACAGGAUUAGAUACCCUGGUAGUC